rnacentral:rRNA from 1 species
CGGUAAUACGGAGGGUGCGAGCGUUAAUCGGAAUUACUGGGCGUAAAGGGCGCGUAGGCGGCUGAUCAAGUCAGGUGUGAAAGCCCACGGCUUAACCGUGUGAAGUGCAUCUGAAACUGGUCGGCUUGAGUAUCGGAGAGGAAAGUGGAAUUCCCAGUGUAGAGGUGAAAUUCAUAGAUAUUGGGAAGAACACCGGUGGCGAAGGCGGCUCUCUGGAUCGAUACUGACGCUGAGACGCGAAAGCGUGGGGAGCAAACAGGAUUAGAUACCCUGGUAGUCCACGCCGUAAACGAUGUGCACUAGGUGUUGGGAGUAAUUAAACUUUCAGUGCCGCAGUUAACGCAUUAAGUGCACCGCCUGGGGAUUACGGUCGCAAGAUUAAA